rnacentral:rRNA from 1 species
UACGUAGGGGGCAAGCGUUGUCCGGAUUUAUUGGGCGUAAAGAGCGUGUAGGCGGCCAGACAGGUCUGCUGUGAAAACUCGAGGCUCAACCUCGAGACGCCGGUGGAAACCGUUUGGCUAGAGUCCGGAAGAGGAGAGUGGAAUUCCUGGUGUAGCGGUGAAAUGCGCAGAUAUCAGGGGGAAGGCCGGCGGCGAAGGCGCUUUUCUGGUUAGUACCUGACACUGAGGCACGAAAGCGUGGGGAGCAAACAGG